rnacentral:rRNA from 1 species
CACUUAGAGUAAUGUCUAAGUAUCAUUAAGUGAAUACAUAGCUUAAUGAGGGGAACUCAGGGAACUGAAACAUCUAAGUACCUGAAGGAAGAGAAAGAGAUUCGAUUCCGUAAGUAGCGGCGAGCGAACGCGGAUUAGCCCAAACCAAUAAAGUUUCCUUUAUUUGGGUUGCGGACAUAUCAUAACGAAGAGGUAUCGUAAUUGAAGAGGUUUGGAAAGACCCACCACAGAAGGUAAUAGUCCUGUAUGUUAAACGAGAAGACUUUAGAUAUGAUCCAGAGUACCACGGGACACGUGAAACCCUGUGGGAAGCAGGAGGGACCACCCUCCAAGGCUAAAUACUACCUAGUGACCGAUAGCGUAUAUUACCGUGAGGGAAAGGUGAAAAGAACCCCGGGAGGGGAGUGAAAUAGAACCUGAAACCCUGCACUUACAAGCUGUGGAAGCACAUUUCUUGUGUGACCGCGUACUUUUUGUAGAACGGGCCAACGAGUUACGUUAAGUAGCAAGGUUAAGCACUUAAGGUGCGGAGCCGUAGCGAAAGCGAGUUUUAACUGAGCGUUCAGUUACUUGACGUAGACCCGAAACCGGGCGACCUACCCAUGAGCAGGAUGAAGCGAAAGUAAAAUUUCGUGGAGGUCCGAACCCACGAGCGUUGAAAAGCUCGGGGAUGACUUGUGGGUAGCGGUGAAAUUCCAAUCGAGCCCGGAGAUAGCUGGUUCUCCCCGAAAUAGCUUUAGGGCUAGCCUCAAGGUGAGAGAUACGGAGGUAGAGCACUGAAUGUCCUAGGGGGUAUUGCACCUACCGAAGACUAUCAAACUCCGAAUGCCGUCAUCUUAUACUUGGGAGUCAGACUGUGGGUGAUAAGAUUCAUAGUCGAAAGGGCAACAGCCCAGAUCGUCAGCUAAGGUCCCUAAAUGUAAGUUAAGUGGUAAAGGAUGUGGGAUUGCACAGACAACCAGGAUGUUGGCUUAGAAGCAGCCACUCAUUCAAAGAGUGCGUAAUAGCUCACUGGUCGAGUGAUCCUGCGCCGAAGAUUUCCGGGGCUAAAACUUACUACCGAAGCUACGGCAUCAGUAAUGAUGGGUAGGGGAGCUUCCCAUACGGGUUGAAGCAUGACCGUAAGGACAUGUGGACAGUAUGGGAGUGAGAAUGUUGGCAUGAGUAGCGAGAUGUGGGUGGGAAUCCCACAGGCCGUAAACCCAAGGUUUCCAGGGGAAGGUUCGUCCGCCCUGGGUUAGUCGGGACCUAAGCUGAGGCCGAAAGGCGUAGGUGAUGGACAACAGGUUGAUAUUCCUGUACUACCGAUAACCGUUUGAGAGAAGGGAUGACACAGUAGGAUAAGCUAAGCACACUGUUGGUUA